AUGGUUGAAGCAAUGCAAGAAAAGUUCAUGAAGUAUUGGAAGCUGUCAUUCUUGACCAUUUGUCUUCCGAUCAUACUCGACCCCAGGUACAAGUUUAAAUUCUUGGAGUUCCGCUUAAAAUCUGGACUUGAAAGUGAUGCAACAAGGUAUCUUGCUAAAGUGAAGAGAACAUUCAAAGAUCUAUUUGUUGAAUAUUCUAUGCAUGAGGGUGAGUCAAAUAUGAGAAAUGAUCAAGGAACCAACAAUGUUGGUACAAGUAUUGAUAACCCAUGGGAUCAAUGGAACAAACAAGUUAAGCAAAAUCAAGAAAAUCGAGCAAAGCUGAGUGAACUUGAUAUUUACCUAAAAGAUGAUGUUUGCCCGCAAGAAGAUGGCUUCGACAUACUAUGUUGGUGGUCCAAUAAUGCACACAAGUACCCCAUAGUAUCUCGGAUAGCAAAGGAUGUAUUGGCUGCACCUGCAUCUAGUGUAGCAUCAGAGUCGGCCUUCUCCACUGGAGGAAGAGUAUUCAGUGACUAUAGGACCAGAUUGCUUCCUACCACUGUAGAGGCAUUGAACUGUAUAAUGGUAGUGAACAUCAGUUUUUGUCAAGAACCUCCGUUCAGUAUCAGUAGUAGUAUAUUUGGAGACCCUCGGCACCGGCAUCCACAAUAG
rnacentral:rRNA from 1 species